CUCUUCCUCGAUAUUGACCUAGAUAGAGGAAUUCAAACUAGCAUUUAUGAAAAAUAUGAUGAUUUCAUUUUUCAAAUUGUCAAAUUCUCCUUUCUCAACAGAAACAUACCAUUUGCCCCAUCGUGCGUUCCUUACACAAAUUAAAUUAUUUCAAAAGACUUAGGAAGAACUUUUGAACUUUUUGAAAUUAAGAACAACUGAAAUCAUCGCUAUAGACGAUUUGUGAUCACAAUCAUUAAUUGACCGAUACGAUAUGCAUGUGUCGCAAAUAUCCACUUGAGUUGUUCACAGUCCUUUUAUUUUCAUAUAACAGUAUAGUUGUCUUCCCUGUAAUUUUACCGAUUGUGUCCUAUUCCAGAAUUUAUGUCACUACCGGUCAUAUGACACAGUUGUAGUAAAAUUACGUUUUUUUCGGUCUACUGAUUAUGGAUUUGUUUGGCAAAGGAUGCAUGAAUGUGCGCCCGCAAAAUGUGUUUAAUCUCACCACCUAUUAUAUGUUCCUGUUGCAAGUCAUGGGCCUGUAAUUCAAUGGUUAUCGUUUGUUUCGGUACUAUAAAUAUGUAUUUGUUUAUCGUUCAUUAUAUUUUACAUAAAUUAGGCCGUUAGUUUUCUCUUUUGAAUUGUUUAACAUUUGUCAUUUCGGAGCCUUUAAAAGCUGACUAUUUCGGUAUGGGAUUUGCUCAUUGUUGGAGACCGUACGGUGAACUAGAGUUGUAAAUGUCUGUGUCAUUUGGUCUCUUGUGAAUAGUUCUCCAUCGGCAAUCACAACGCAUCUUUUUUGUUAUAUGGCAGGAGACACUUACUCAGUCUCGCACCGUUAACAGACCGUGCAAUUUCUCAAUAUGUGUUAGUUUCCUUGAUUUACCUUUAUCGACUAUGAUAAUGGAGUUUUGUUUUAUUACUAUUGCCUUAUAAUUUCUUCUUAAGCUAUACAAAGCUCAGAAUAAAAUAUGUUAAUACUUACAAUGAAAUAGACUACAUUCAAAAUGUGGUAGCAUUUUUUUUUUAAAUUAGAGGCUCUAAAGAGCCUGUGUCGCUCACCUUGGUCAUUGUGCAUAUUAAACAAAGGACACAGAUGGAUUAAUGACUAAAUUGUGUUUUGGUGAUGGUGAUGUGUUUGUAGAUCUUAUUUUACUGAACAUUCUUGCUGCUUAUAAUUAUAUCUAUCUAUAAUGAACUCGGCCCAGUAGCUACAGUGGAAAAUAUUUUGUAAAAAUUUACAAAAAUUUACAAAAAUUAUGAAAAUUGUUAAAUAUUGACUAUAAAGGGCAAUAACUCCUUAAAGGGUCAACUGACCAUUUUGGUAAUGUUGACUUAUUUGUAGAUCUUACUUUGCUGAACAUAAUUGCUGUUUAUAGUUUAUCUCUAUCUAUUAUAAUAUUCAAGAUAAUAACCAAAAACGGCAAAAUGUCCUUAAAAUUACCAAUUCAGGGGCAGCAACCCAACAACGGGUUGUCCGAAUCAUCUGAAAAUUUCAGGGCAGAUAGAUCUUGACCUGAUAAACAAUUUUAUCCCAUGUCAGAUUUGCUCUAAAUGCUUUGGUUUCAGAAAUAUGAGCCAAAAACUGCAUUUCACCCUAUGUACUAUUUUUAGCCAUGUCGGCCAUCUUGGUUUGUGGGCAGGGAUCAUCGGACACAUUUGUUAAACAAGAUACCCUAAUGAUGAUUGUGGACAAGUUUGGUUCAAUUUGUCUUUAUAGUUUCAGAGGAGAAAAUUUUUGUAAAGGAUAGCAAAAAUUUACGAAAAAUUGUUAAAAAUUGACUAUAAAGGGCAAUAACUCCUUAAGGGGUCAACUUACCAUUUUCGUAAUGUUGACUUAUUUGUAGAUUUUACU
rnacentral:lncRNA from 1 species